GGGGAACCCAAGUUUCAUAAGUCACCACGGGUGCAAGACUCGCCAUAGCCCGACUAUCAUUUUAAAGUCCGGACGAGUCAANUCUAGAAAAUAACAUGCUUAGGUUGUGUUUAUUAAACUGUUUGAUUUAAGUUAUUUAUUGUAUGUUAUAUACUUGAUGUGAUGCAUGUUUUUUUUUGUAUAAUUAGCUCACCCUUGCAUUUUUUUGUCUGUGUUUGUGCCAUGUCUGCUUGCUUGUUGUGUGUGCUUUCCUGUUGCAAUGAUCAUCCACUUGGAUGUGAGCAGAGGAAGGAGAGGUUUCACU
rnacentral:lncRNA from 1 species